rnacentral:rRNA from 1 species
AUACGGAGGGUGCAAACGUUGUUCGGAAUCACUGGGCGUAAAGGGCGCGCAGGCGGUUUGAUUAGUCAGAUGUGAAAGCCCACGGCUCAACCGUAGAAGUGCAUUUGAAACUGUCAGACUUGAGUACUAGAGGGGAAAGUGGAAUUCCCGGUGUAGAGGUGAAAUUCGUAGAUAUCGGGAGGAAUACCGGUGGCGAAGGCGACUUUCUGGCUAGAUACUGACGCUGAGGUGCGAAAGCGUGGGGAGCAAACAGGAUUAGAAACCCCAGUAGUCC